UUGACGAAGAUUGACCUACUCGCAGGAUACUGGCAGAUUCGCGUAGGCGAACUAUCAGUGCCCAAAACAGCGUUUAACACGCAAUGGGGAAAGUUUGAAUUUCUUGCGAUGCCUAUGGGGCUUACAAACGCCCCUGCAACCUUUCAGACGAUAAUGAAUACGAUCCUUGCAAAACAGAACGGCCGAUCGUGCCUCGUAUACCUUGACGAUAUCUUAAUCUUUUCGAACUCGUACGAAGAGCACCUACAACAUGUGGAUCAGGUGCUCACAACUCUGGCAGAGCACAAGCUCUACGCCAAACCAUCGAAAUGUGUGUUUGGUACGAAGGAGUUGGAGUUCGUGGGACAUCUUGUGGGAGGGGGUCGCAUACGCCCAAUCCCCGAAAAACUAGAAGUUAUCGCGAAAUGGCCAAGGCCUAGGAACGUACACCACGUACGCCAAUUUUUAGGACUGGCAUCCUAUUACAGGAGGUUUGUAAAGGAUUUCGCACGAAUCGCUGCUCCGCUGUCAGAUCUUCUUAAGGAGACAGACGCUGAGCUUCGCAAGAAGAAAUUUCGUUCGAUCAUCUGGAACGCCUCCUGCGAAGAGGCCUUUCUUGAACUUAGGGAACGUAUGACAACAUCUCCAGUGCUUGUUCAACCGGAUCGUACGAAGCCCUUCACAAUUGAAACCGACGCAUCAGAAUGGGCCAUUGGGUGCUCCCUCUUGCAAGUGGGGGAGGAUGAUAAAUUACACCCAGUAGCGUAUGAUGGCCGAAAGCUGUCGGGCGCAGAACUUAACUAUCCUGUGCAUGAGAAGGAACUUCUAGCGAUCAAACACGCACUAGGCCUGUGGGAUCGAUAUAUCGACAAUGGGCAUACGACAACGGUGAUCACCGACCACGAAAGCCUCAUUUAUUUGCAAACGACAACCAAACCCUCCAAGCGGCUAGCACGAUGGAUAUCAGAGUUCCAGGCGUACGACCUUCAAAUCAAAUACAGAAAGGGGGCGGACGCUAUCGUGCCAGACGCCAUAAGUCGUAGACCUGACUUCAUGGGAGAAGGUCCAGCGAACGCGGCACAGGGAGAGUUCACACUAAUGGCACUGAGGGGUUGUGAUGAGGCAGAGUGGUUGGAAGCCAUGAUCGCCCGCUUGAAGGAUGGGAGCGUAUCGGCCGAUAAACGCCUGGCGAAGGUAAUAGAAGAGAUGCUUCCAAAAUUCAAGCUUGCGAAGUUAGAGGAGGAUGUUGUGCUUUACCGUGACCUCGGUUACGCAGAGGCACCGUAUCUUGAGCCCCAGUUUCGACGGGACCUGGUAAGUCGUAUGCACAAGGAGUUCGGCCACUUGGGGAGCCCAGGACUUAUGGGUGUUCUGGAAGGUCGAGCGUACUGGCCAAGCAUGGAAGAAGAUAUCCAAGCAUACGCGCAGGAGUGCCCGAACUGCCAAGUCUCAAAGGGCGCAAGGCAAGGAUUGGAGCGUGAGAGGGCACAACAUCAGGU
rnacentral:sRNA from 1 species